rnacentral:tRNA from 1 species
GGGGCUGUAGCUCAGUGGCAGAGUGCUUGCCUAGCAUGCAUGAGGCACUGGAUUUGAUCCUCAGCACAUCAUAAAAAUAAAUAAAUAAGGGAUCUGUGUUGUGGCUCAGUGGUAGAGUGCUUGGCUAGCAUGUGUGACUGAGUUCAAUCCUCAACACCUCA